rnacentral:tmRNA from 1 species
GGGGAUGUAAUGGCUUCGACAUAUAUUGGGUAAAACUAACAUCAGUGGUCUGGUAAACCUUAAUACUUCUAGGCUUAAUAGUCGCAAACAAAAAACAAGCUCAAGUUGAGCUAAAAGACUUAGUAAUUGCAAAUCAAUUACAAGCACAAUCAAAUCUAGUUUUUGCUUAAUUUUGCACACUAGUGCAUCUAAAAUAGUGCCUUAUAUUUUAGGUGUGGUUUAAAGGCUCGAAAAACUCUCACACUUAGUGUUUUUUUAAAUUUAAAGUGUAAUAUCAAUCUAACUUUUGUUUAUUUAGUUAUCUUGAUAAAUUUAUAAAUAAACUAAACUUGUAAAAAGUGUUAGUUGGUCUUAAUGUGUGGACACGGGUUCAACUCCCGUCAUCUCCACCA